UAGAGGAAGUAAAAGUCGUAACAAGGUUUCCGUAGGUGAACCUGCGGAAGGAUCAUUAUUGAAUCUUUGAAAGGAGCUGUUUGCUGGCCUUAUUGAUCUUGGGCAUGUGCACGCUCCGUUCAAAUCCAAACUCUCAUACACCUGUGCACCCUUUGUAGGACCGGUCGAAAGGCCGUUCCUAUGUUCAUUUAUAAACUCAACAGUAUGUGUAGAAUGUCAACGCGUGUAACGCAUCUUUAUACAACUUUCAGCAACGGAUCUCUUGGCUCUCGCAUCGAUGAAGAACGCAGCGAAAUGCGAUAAGUAAUGUGAAUUGCAGAAUUCAGUGAAUCAUCGAAUCUUUGAACGCACCUUGCGCUCCUUGGUAUUCCGAGGAGCAUGCCUGUUUGAGUGUCAUGGAAUCAUCAACUCUAUUUCUUCUUUGUUGAAGGGAUUGAGCUUGGACUUGGAGGUGUAUGCUGGCCUUUGCGGGUCGGCUCCUCUUGAAUGCAUUAGCUUGAACCUUUGCUGUAUCAGCUGUUCGGUGUGAUAAUUGUCUACGCCGUCACUGUGAAGCAUUACACAUUUUGUGUGUGGGGCUCAGCUUCCAACUGUCCUGUAGAAGGGACAACAUCAUAUAUUGACCUCUGACCUCAAAUCAGGUAGGAUUACCCGCUGAACUUAAGCAUAUC
rnacentral:rRNA from 1 species